GGUACUCCUUUGGCUGGAGUCUGAUCUCUGUAGAGAAUAUUAGUUCCUGUGUGAACAGCAAGUGAGUACAGGUCAGAGCCAGUUCUCAGCGAGAAGCCUCACAGCAGCAGCUCUGGACAGAGUCGGGAAGAAGGUUGCAGUCUGGCUCUGGCUCUGUGGGCAAGGCUGCCCGAUCAGGUCCAGAGCACAGAGGGAGAAGCACCUCACGUGCCAGCCACUUGCCAGCUAAGCCUUGCCAAGUCAAAAAGAGAUCAUCUGUUGCGAACUGCAAGUCAGCAUUCUGAUAGCAGCGGGUUUGCUGAGGAUUCCACAGACUGCCUCUCCCUCAAUCACCUUCAGGUUCAUGAGUCCCUGCAAGCCAUGGGGAGCAGUGCUGACAGCUGCGACAGUGAAACAACUGUCACAUCACUUGGUGAAGACCAUGUGACUCCGACAGCACCAGACCAGCCUUACUUCAAUGAAUCAGAGGAGGAGUCUCUUGCCUCUCUGCA
rnacentral:lncRNA from 1 species